UCCCUGGUAGUAUAUCGGUUAGUACACGCGCCUGUCAUACUAGGCUGAGUGGCGCGCGAAAGCUGGGUUCGACUCCCAGCCAGGGAG